rnacentral:sRNA from 1 species
GCACUCGGGAACUGUGGCGGUAAAGCUA